AUAAAACGGCCCCAACCCUAUAUCUCCCUUCUCUGACUCUCUCUUCGGACUCAGCCUGCCUGCACCCAGAGACACGGUCCUCUCUUUGUUGCCUAGGCUGGAGUACAGUGGUGUGAUCACAGCUCACUAUAACCCUGAACUGCUGGAAUCAAGUGAUCCUACUGCCUCAGCCUCCCAGAAGAUGGUCAGAGCCUUUGAAAUGGAAGAAAACUCACCAUAUGACCAAAGGCUUACGUUUGAAGAGAGGAUUAUGAGAGAUCAAAAUAUGUUGAAAUACUGAUGGGGAAGAGCGAUUGCAAAGGCAAGAUUGGAAACAAAAUGAAAAAUCAAUUAAUUUACGUGAAGAGAUAGAAGUGUGUCCAGAAUACAAAAGAGAUCAUCUUAGACAAACGUUUUAUUCUACAUUUCCUUUUGUGAGUAGGAAAAGACAGGAAACGUGAUGUUAGAUGGAGACAGAGUGAUAAAACGUUGAGGUGGUUUCACCUGCUGAUGAGUACAAUAAUAAAAAUAUUGAAUAUUUA